GAAAGUGGCCGUCUGUCCUCAUCAGAACCUGAUCAUGCUGACACCCUGAUCUUGGACUUCCAGCCUUCAGAACUGUGAGAAAUAAACUUUUCUAGUUGAUAAGCCACCCAACCUAUGGUGUUUAGCUAUAGCUGCCUGAACUAAGUAAGACACAAAGUAAAAUUAAAAGGAAAAUAAUUUACAAUGAAAUAGCACGCAUUUCAACAUGCACAUGCUCAGCAGGACUGCACUAGAAUAAAUGACAAAGUUGCAGGCGCUCGUGUCCAUACCCAGCAUCACCUUGAAUGUGGCAGCUACCAGUGCAGGCCCACACAGGUUUCUUGCAAUGGAGAUUCAAAUUCCAUGAGUGGUGUUGACAUUGCUGAUGUGAUUUUCCAGAAUGGUGAACAACUCUUGGAAAAGUUCUAAACAAAACAGAGCACAGUGUUCCCUUGAUGUGCUCAGUAGUUGCUUUCCUGGAAAAUGUAUUUUUAAAAUGCUCUGGGUUUGUAGAUAAAAGAGAGUUAGGUUUUAGCUCAAGUAAUUUUAAACAGUUUCUUCACCUGUGCAAAUGUUCAGUGGGGUGUUCAAAAAUCAUGCAGCUCACAAGAAUGGGACUGUCACAUGCAUUGCAGGCUGUCCACCAUCUCCAGCCGUUACAUCUCUACCCAGUAAUGGUCAUAGCGGUCCUUGAGUCAUUGUGACAAUCGAGAAUACUCCACUCCACAUCAUUCCGUAUUGAGAACCAUAGUUCCCAGCCAAUGCUGAUGCUCCCAUCCCCCUUCCUGUGAUGAAACACAAGGGGAAUUCUACUGGAGGCCUUUGGCACAAGGUGUUUCUACCUGAUAAAAAGAGACACUGGUGCAUAAACAUUACCUUUCUCUGCCCGUGGUUGUUAUAUGAGGAUAUGACGUCUGGGAGACUGCAACAUUCUUGCUCUCUUCAGGAGAGCCAGCCUGAGGAAGAGGCCAGGACAUGGAGCAGGGAAGAGCAGAAAGGUGGAAAGAGAAAGCUAUUCCUGCCACAGCUUCAGAUGUCCAACAAUAUCAACAGAAAAGAUAAAAAUAUCACAAAACUUCUUCCUCCCAGCAUCCAAAUUUCAGUGGAUUUUCUCUGCUUGAGCCUCACGCAUCCUUCUUAUUCCUAUCCUUGAUGCUGAGGGCUGGGGCCAGGAAUCUUGAUUGACAACUCCCCAGAAACACCUGGAAGAAGACAGAGCAAUUUCCUCAAAGAUCUAAGAGGAUUGAACAAAAAUCUGUAUACAUCAUCUAAUUAAAUAAAACUAAUUACACUUUAUCUUGGUUGAUGUAAUUUAUUGUCAGCAUGAAUUGCUUCAGCCAUUUUUCCGCAACCCAUAAGAUUUGAGCUUGAUGGUGUCUUGUCUUCACUUCUGAACUGCUGCAAGUGACGAGGUUAUGGCUUCGCUGGGACAAUGCCUCGGUCUGUCUCUGGGCUGUGUGGACGGAACUGCACGUUCUGGAUCCUCUGGAGAUGCGUGUUCGCUGACUUCUUGUCACGCCCACAGAUGACUGGUCUCGUAUGUUACCUUCUUGAUUUCUCUCUAUUUCACUCCAGGAUAAUCUUCCAACAAUGCUGUCACCCUUAGGAACUGAACUAAAUAUUUCAAUUCAAACUGAAAUCCACAUUUCUAUUUCCUUGACCUUUUGACCUCCAUCAUCUCUGUUACUUAUCUUCAGGUUGGAGGAGCUUUUGCAGGAAUGCAUUUUUUUUUUUAACCAAAAGAUGAUUGGAAUUACACAUGGAAUCUUCAAUUGUGCUUGUUCCGAAUAGCACUUAUCAAAUUCCCUUUUAAAACUGGAUAUUAUUGAGAACACUAAAACACACUCUCAACCUUCCAGAAAGUGAGGAAUUUUUUAAUCAGUUUGGAUGAAGCGUAUUUGAAGAGACAACUCACAGUAAAUACCUGUGCAUAAUUAACAUAAUUAACUGCAUAAUCAACAGCUCCUCCCGUGCAUGUCUGCAUCCCCAAGGAUCUCCUUCUCUGUGGUCUAUUUCUGUGGCCUCGUCAUUGCACAUUUUCUGAACUCGGC
ensembl:lncRNA